rnacentral:rRNA from 1 species
UACGUAGGGGGCAAGCGUUGUCCGGAUUUAUUGGGCGUAAAGAGCGUGUAGGCGGCCUGUUGCGUCCGCUGUGAAAGCCCGGGGCUUAACCCCGGGUCGGCAGUGGAUACGGGCAGGCUAGAGGUAGGUAGGGGAGAAUGGAAUUCCCGGUGUAGCGGUGAAAUGCGCAGAUAUCGGGAGGAACACCGGUGGCGAAGGCGGUUCUCUGGGCCUUACCUGACGCUGAGGAGCGAAAGCGUGGGGAGCGAACAGG